UUGAACUGAUAUUAAAUAUUCGCUUAUACCAUCAAAAUUUGCACUGCCCACUUCGCCUUCUCUGCCUUUUGAUCGAUAUCAAACCUCAAAUCGACGUUUGAUGGUGGAGUGACAUAGAUGAGAGCAGGUUUUUAACUGUUCAUGUAUGGCUUAUUCUAACACAGAUAUCCAUGGAGAUGGUAGUGGUUGUGCUAUGUGGUUUGGUGACUUAAUUGAUAUUGAAUAAAUUCCUGGGGGUGGCCAAGAUGUAUACAUGCGAAUGCCAGCUUUAGAGUUAAGUAAGUAUAAACUUUAGCCUUAUAUUAUAUACUAUUAAGUGAGAUGUUUACAUUUAUUUGUUGUGUUUGUCCUACAAUUUCGCUUUAAUUUUCUUCUGUCUCGGGACGAUGACAAUAAAUAAAAAAAUUAGAAGCAAAAGGUGAUAGUAGAUUGUAAACAUUGAUCGCUGCAAGUGUUAUUGGAGCAGUUUGUGGGAUGAUAAUAGCUGGAUAUUUCAUUCGGAGAAGCUUAUUUACAGGUAAUUAUUGCUCAACAGAAGAAUAAUCCAUCUGAAUUAAUUUGAAAUCAGAAUGAGUGGCAGUGGAGAAGGUGAGUCCUUGGAGUAUACUCCCACAUGCUUUUGGCUUUGUUUUCGGUUUAUUGCGAUUCCUUGGCUCUUGCUGAGUCUCUUACUGUUGCUUUUCCUGUUUCUCGAGCUCCUGAGGUGAAUAGAGUUCAACGAACUCUUGUGGAGGCUUGGGGUUUGAUUAGAGAGACAUCUGUUGACCCAACAUUUAAUCAUCAAGAUUGGGAUCUGAAGUUGCAGCAGACAAUGGUGUAGAUGUUUCCCCUUAACUCAGAGUGGUUUUAGUGGUUUUAUUUCUUAUCUUUUUUUUAUUUAUUAUUUUUUUUUGUUAUUUAGCUUUUGUUUUAUUUUUUAUCUUUUUUUAUUUAUUAUUUAGUUCGCCAUAAAGAAUUUAAAAAUUAAAUAUCUAUGUAUUCCUUUUCCUAUUAUAAUUUGGAUAUUCUUAUUCUAAUUUAUAUCAGAGCUAGCUGAGAAUAAUAAUAUGUCAUCAAAAAACAUAUGAUGUUAUUGAAAUUAAGUUAAAAUAAAAAAAUAUACUAACAAUCUUAUUAUGCAUUUUACAGUGCUAUAGCAUAUGUUGAACUUGAUGACAAUACAAAGAGCCUAUCUGCUGUCAUGUUCGCAGAUAUUGUGAAAAAAAUAUUUUCGUGUAAUGCUGCCCAACUAAUGAAAUAUACUGCAGAGGUGUAGUUUUUAAAAAAUUAAAUAGUUUUACAUGCCUUUCAUAAGUUGAUUUUUUAAUUAAAUAAAUUAUGCACACCAUGUCUAAUCAUCUUAAAUGAAAAUACAUCACUGUUUGCAGGAACA